AGGAAGGCAGCAGGCGCGCAAAUUACCCAAUCCCGACACGGGGAGGUAGUGACAAUAAAUACUGAUACAGGGCUCUUUUGAGUCUUGUAAUUGGAAUGAGUACAAUUUAAAUCCCUUAACGAGGAACAAUUGGAGGGCAAGUCUGGUGCCAGCAGCCGCGGUAAUUCCAGCUCCAAUAGCGUAUAUUAAAGUUGUUGCAGUUAAAAAGCUCGUAGUUGAACCUUGGGCCUGGCUGGCCGGUCCGCCUCACCGCGUGCACUGGUCCGGCCGGGCCUUUCCUCCUGGGGAGCCGCAUGCCCUUCACUGGGUGUGUCGGGGAACCAGGACUUUUACUUUGAAAAAAUUAGAGUGUUCAAAGCAGGCCUAUGCUCGAAUACAUUAGCAUGGAAUAAUAGAAUAGGACGUGUGGUUCUAUUUUGUUGGUUUCUAGGACCGCCGUAAUGAUUAAUAGGGAUAGUCGGGGGCAUCAGUAUUCAAUUGUCAGAGGUGAAAUUCUUGGAUUUAUUGAAGACUAACUACUGCGAAAGCAUUUGCCAAGGAUGUUUUCAUUAAUCAGUGAACGAAAGUUAGGGGAUCGAAGACGAUCAGAUACCGUCGUAGUCUUAACCAUAAACUAUGCCGACUAGGGAUCGGGCGAUGUUAUCUUUUUGACUCGCUCGGCACCUUACGAGAAAUCAAAGUUU
rnacentral:rRNA from 1 species